UACGUAGGGUGCAAGCGUUAAUCGGAAUUACUGGGCGUAAGCGUGCGCAGGCGGUUAUGUAAGACAGAUGUGAAAUCCCCGGGCUCAACCUGGGAACUGCAUUUGUGACUGCAUAGCUAGAGUACGGUAGAGGGGGAUGGAAUUCCGCGUGUAGCAGUGAAAUGCGUAGAUAUGCGGAGGAACACCGAUGGCGAAGGCAAUCCCCUGGACCUGUACUGACGCUCAUGCACGAAAGCGUGGGGAGCAAACAGG
rnacentral:rRNA from 1 species